UGGCCGAUAACGACAAGUAUAUGAAGCAUUUACAGCAGUUUAGUUCCUCCGUCUCGCAUUCGAGCGCGAGCCAGGUACUGAAUGUUUCGCUCAUCCGAAAGUGCUGAUUGGACAUGGCUAUGGAUAAAGAAUGUGGUGAGGAUUCAGAUUCAAACCAUUUCCUUGCCAUCGUUCGGAGCAACAGGAAUUCAUCAAAAUAAUGCGGCUACGAAAACCUCAACUCACCAAAAGGCAGUCGACCGCACAGUCGUUGAGCUGGACGACCCGACACCUAUUGAAUGAACAGUAUGAAUUUUAAAAACUCUUCGAAUCGGACAUGCACAUUCUAUUCGAUCUUACGCGUAGCAAAACGACAGAAGUGGGAUUAAAGAAUUAUUAAAUUCGUGCUUUGCCUACAAAAGUUGUUCUGCAAAAAAAAAAGUACACUCGAUUGCUUUUCGAAAUUAAUAUUAAUAGUUUUAAUUUGCCGGGUCAGCUUACAAUGUAUUAAUUAAAGAGGUACGCUUAAGUGGAAGUGUCUCUGCACAUUUCCCAAUAAUUGCCGUUUCAGUGGCAUUAAAAAGAACUCAAAUUUUUUGGUGGCAAACAAAAAAAAUCAUGUACAUUCACUUAUUUUGUACGGCUAUAUAACGAUCAGAAUAUCGGGGAUACACUGGUAUUUGGAAUAUAUUAGUCAGGCUGGGAGUGAUCAUAGAGUCCAAGGGUAGGUACUCUCCCGUGUAUUCAACUUUAACAUACAUAUGUUCUUUAGACAGAAAUCAGCGCUAAAAGCUAAAUGGGGGG
rnacentral:sRNA from 1 species